GAUGAACGCUGGCGGCGUGCCUAAUACAUGCAAGUCGAGCGAACGGACGAGAAGCUUGCUUCUCUGAUGUUAGCGGCGGACGGGUGAGUAACACGUGGAUAACCUACCUAUAAGACUGGGAUAACUUCGGGAAACCGGAGCUAAUACCGGAUAAUAUUUUGAACCGCAUGGUUCAAAAGUGAAAGACGGUCUUGCUGUCACUUAUAGAUGGAUCCGCGCUGCAUUAGCUAGUUGGUAAGGUAACGGCUUACCAAGGCAACGAUGCAUAGCCGACCUGAGAGGGUGAUCGGCCACCUGGGAACGGAGACACGGUCAAGACGCCUACGGGAGGGAGCAGUAGGGAAUCGGCCGCAGUGGGCGAAAGCCUGACGGAGCAACGCGGCGUGAGUGAUGAAGGUCUCCGGAUCGUAAUACUCUGUUAUUAGGUAAGAACAUAUGUGUAAGUAACUGUGCACAUCGUGACGGUACCUAAUCAGAAAGCCACGGCUAACUACGUG
rnacentral:rRNA from 1 species